GACGAACGCUGGCGGCGUGCUUAACACAUGCAAGUCGAACGGAAAGGCCCUGCUUGCAGGGUACUCGAGUGGCGAACGGGUGAGUAACACGUGGGUGAUCUGCCCUGCACUUCGGGAUAAGCUUGGGAAACUGGGUCUAAUACCGGAUAGGACCGCACUUUAGUGUGUGUGGUGGAAAGUUUUUUCGGUGUAGGAUGAGCUCGCGGCCUAUCAGCUUGUUGGUGGGGUAAUGGCCUACCAAGGCGGCGACGGGUAGCCGGCCUGAGAGGGUGUACGGCCACAUUGGGACUGAGAGACGGCCCAGACUCCUACGGGAGGCAGAAGGGGGGAAGAUUGCACAAGGGGCGCAAGCCUGAUGCAGCGACGCCGCGUGGGGGAUGAAGGCCUUCGGGUUGUAAAAUCCUUUCGCUAGGGACGAAGCUUUUUGUGACGGUACCUAGAUAAGAAGCACCGGCUAACUACGUG
rnacentral:rRNA from 1 species